GAGAGAGAGAGAGAUAAUCUGCAGAUGUUGUCCUAAAUUUUUCCAGUGGUUGUCCAGCUAACAUACGCGAGUCUAUGUAAACCGCUCGAUAAUUCGCAGUCGUUGUCUCGGACAACCACUGCAAGCUGCAGUGGUUGUCCCGAUCGCGUCCCGACCACGUAAUUCACGAUCGCACACUUCGCCCUCCAUAACACUGUAAAUUUCUUUCAACAUUUGUACAUUGAAGAUACCACUAUUAUGUUACAACAACAACAACAAAUAAUCUGUGAUUUCGAAUUUCGGGAAUCCAAGUUGUACGGUAAAUGUCUAAUUAUCGGAAAAUAUUGAUACCUAUUACAUUUAUCUUGUGACUACUCGCUAUUUUAGGAUUUUGAAAAUACGUGAAAAUAAUUUAAUACGAGAUAACGCCGCUUGAGAUGAGCAGAAUGAUGCUAAUUGCUAACGAAGCUUCGAAGUUUGCCAAAGUGAAAGUAAGACUCGCUUGCCGGGAAGUCUGGCGGCUCUCGCGAGGAGCUAACUCCAGGUAGCUGCGCCCCCCAAGGCGUGGCGGCAGAGCUUCCUGGAGUUGACAAGUUGCCUACUGCACUGCCUACCGAGCUGAGCUGAGCUGAGCUGAGUGUGACAUGUGAAGCCACAACAAUUGCUAGCCCAACAGCUCUCAUAUUGACAUCUACUGUAAAGUUAAUCCAGGAUGUCAUUGUCUAGUGACAAUGACAUAGUGCUUGUUCAGUGGGACAGAGAUGGUCAGGAAAAUACAGUUCUCAAGAAUGAAUUGUGCUACACUGCAAGACUGAAAUUGGGGUCUAGAGCGGUGAUGAAUUAGACAGUUUGGAACUGAUGGACCCUGGCCUGGAACAGUGACAGUCAUUGCUGAUUUUGACACAGAAUCUAAAGCUGGGUCUGAAAAUGACGAUGUUCCACUUGCUUCUCUCAGAGAAAUAGAGAAGUCUGUCUGCACUCAAAUUCCUGCAAGUGUUCCCUCCAGCAACCAGGCCUCUGUAAGUGAACCCUUUCGCACCCAGGCCCCUGUGAGUGCGACCCUCCAAUACCCAGGCCCAUGUGAGUGGACCCUUCUGCAUCCAGCCCUUUGAGGGUACCCUUCUGCACUCAGCCCCCUGCAAGUGGACCCUCCAGCAACCAGCCCCCUGCGAGUGGACCCUUCUGCACCCAGACCCCUCCGAGUGGACUCUCCAGCAACCAGCCCCCUGCGAGUGGACCCUUCUGCACCAAAUCACUUGUAUCAAAUUUUUAGGUCGUGAUAUCUCCGGAAUCCUUUCACGAUCAAUUUUCUAGUUGAAGCAAUUUUUAGUAAAAAACUUUGCUGUCCAUUUGGUAAUAAUUGAAAUAAACACAUUUGUGUAGAAUAUGAGAAAUCAUU